GUGUUUUCUGGGAAUCGACCAGAGCCAAAGGAGGGCUAAGAGAAAACCCUAACUUCACAAAUUCUCAAAAUCAGAAGGAAAUUAAGAGUUCUAAUGGAUGCAUGCACCCUAAAUCGAGUGUUAAGGAAGAGAGUUCAAGUCAAGCGAAGCAAUAAGGGAAUCAAGACCGAGGUAAAUCUCAAGUUUAGCUUUCAAGCUUCGCCCGAUUCGAACACACUUCAAGGCCCGCCUCAUGUUCCGCUAAUUAUGUAAAGAAGACGACGCUUAAUAUUUUGGUCACUUGUCUAAAUCUAGUAGUCAAAUACUUAGUUCUUGUUAUGUAUUUUGAACUAUAAGAAUUUCGUAUGCAUGUCGUAGUUGUUUGAUGGUAUAUAAUAUGUCCUUUUCAAAA